rnacentral:ncRNA from 1 species
CUUAUCCAGAGCGGCAGAGGGACAGGCCCGAUGAAGCCCGGCAACCGGUCGGCGUCACGCCGGCAAGGUGCCAAUUCCUGCGGCGCAUGCGGCCCCGGGGCCAUCGCCGAAAGAUGAG